rnacentral:rRNA from 1 species
UACAGAGGUCUCAAGCGUUGUUCGGAAUUACUGGGCGUAAAGGGUUCGUAGGUGGCCAACUAAGUCAGACGUGAAAUCCCUCAGCUUAACUGGGGAACUGCGUCUGAUACUGAUUGGCUUGAGUGCAGGAGAGGAACGCGGAAUUCCAGGUGUAGCGGUGAAAUGCGUAGAUAUCUGGAGGAACACCGGUGGCGAAGGCGGCGUUCUGGACUGCAACUGACACUGAGGAACGAAAGCCAGGGGAGCAAACGGG